CAUCUAUUGAGGACAUCUGAACUGCUCUAUUUUGUUGGUACACAUAACGUGAGCACAUGCAUGACUUCAGUUCUGGAUUGGUAGCUUAAAUUUAGUCCUUUUAAGAGGAUUCUAGGAUAGAUUUCUUGUAUGGACCUCAUAAGAAAUGUAUUAUGCCUUUGAUCCUAAUUGACACUUUCUAUGUUGGAUAAUUUCAGCUUGCGCUGUUCCAAGAUACAUUUUCUACUGGAAUACGUAACUUUGCUAGCAUUCGAAAAAUGAUUGCUCGAACAUUAACGAGUUAGUGACUGGAUAUGUGCCUCACCCAAAAUGUUAUUUCCCUGGUUGGUUUCAAGAUCAGUAUUUUAGAUAUGCAAUGUGCUAUGGUGCCACGAAGGUUUCAAGAUUAGUAUCAUAGUUUCACCCCAAAUGUUCUGUCACUGGAUCAGCAAGAUUAAAUUAUGUUAUACUGUACUAUGGUGAUUAUCCCUUAACAAAUUUCAUUACCACAAUAUCUAUGUUCUUCCCAGACUCGGUUUCAGGAAGUUUCUCAGGGUGUUCUCCGUAUGGCUCUCUUGCUAAUGCUUAAGCUCACAUUUGCAGCAAUUUCUUCAGCUUGAUGGGUGCUACUGUUUAAGGGUCUAUUCAGGCUUUGGAUAUGAUAAUAAGUUCCAGAACGUGGCUGCGUAUGUCAGGCUUGCGGUUGUUACAUAUAAAUUAUAGUUUUGUCUUCAAAUGUUGCUUUCUAAGGUUAUCAGCGCUCGAAGAAUUGGUAUAACAGAAUUCAGUGUCAAGCUUGCUGCUGUUAUAUUUAGGUUGGAUGAAGCAUCGAGCGUUUCUUCCUUGAGAUGAUUAACAGAUCGUCAUGUGCAUUACUGUCCACAGCUUUACUCUAAAUUGGUUACCCUUUGAGCACUAAAGUGCAUCCUUCAUAUUUUCUCCGAGCGGAUUUUUUUUUCGAUGAAAAGGGACCAGUAGCAGAGGGACAUUUCUAAUGCCCACUGCCAUUUGAUGAAACACAGGUAUAAAAUCUCUUUUCGCUAUUCCAAAGUUCAUCUUCAGAUAUAUCAGGAUGGUAGAACUGGAUGCAACCUUCUGUCGUAGGCUGAUCAGAACUCAAGAAACUAGCAGACCGCAAUGGAAAUUCGGUCUUUGUGCUAUCCGAUUCUUCCUGGAUGUUUCUCCUAUGUUGCCAUGUCCUGUGCAGAUUAUUGUGUUACUUUUGUUGAGUUGUGCGGGUAUUGUCCGUGUGCAGCUAGCUUUUAGUAGACUCAUGCCUAGCCUAGGAGACAGACAUUUGUAAAUUUUGGGUCGGUGGCGUUGUCCAAUUAUUCAUAAGAAUGUUUAGAUGUCUUUGUUGAAUGCUUUAGUUCCUUCAUUCUUGAAAUGCCAAAAAAAUGUCCAAUAGAGAAACCAUACCCGUCGUUCAUGAUCAUCUUGGUUUCCUUUGUCUCGGAAUGAAAAAAAAAACCAUAUUUCCAUAUAUUCUAAACUGAUUACAGCUAACUUUUGUUUAUUAAGUUUUCCUUUUCAUAGUUAACGGAUUUUCCACGUGAGUUGUCAUUGUUUCGCAUAUAAGAAGAAUCUACGACUGAGGUACAUUUUCAUAAAAUUUAUUUCAUCUGCCUCGCUUUU